UACGUAGGGUGCGAGCGUUGUCCGGAAUUAUUGGGCGUAAAGAGCUUGUAGGCGGUUUGUCGCGUCUGCCGUGAAAAUCCGAGGCUCAACCUCGGACUUGCGGUGGGUACGGGCAGACUAGAGUGUGGUAGGGGAGACUGGAAUUCCUGGUGUAGCGGUGAAAUGCGCAGAUAUCAGGAGGAAUACCGAUGGCGAAGGCAGGUCUCUGGGCCACUACUGACGCUGAGAAGCGAAAGCAUGGGGAGCGAACAGG
rnacentral:rRNA from 1 species